CUUGGAAAACUCUCAUUUUAUUUUCCCAAACUAGAAAACUCACCAGAAGCUGGCAGAUGAGAAGAGUCUCUACGUAGUAGAAUUUCGGGACGAAUGUGGCCCACUGCCCAUCGUUGUUGCAAAGCCCCAAGGGCCGGUGAGGGAAGAUCCUGAGCCUGAGGAUGAAGUUUCUGAUAUCAUACCAGAGUGGAGAGAAGUGAAGGCUGCCCAGGGAGCAAAGAGUCGCUGGGCAAAUCUCAAAAGAACAAUUUGGUGAAGACGGCUGAAUGUUUUCGUUGUGCGGCCUCUCAACGGCUGCUGCUGCAGCAACUUAGUAGCCGAAAAGAACUUGGUCAUGCCUUUCCCAUUUCCCAUCAUUUUGAACGCAAAUGGUGGGUGUGCCUAUGGACGAGAGGGAGAACUUUUGUCUUGCGGGUCAGGAAAGCAGGUAUGGUGAAGCUAUCAAAUAACACACUUCGAAAUAAAGUUGUAAUCAAAUGCCA